UUGCGUCUACGUUCAGUCUCGGGCAACAGCUAAGACGUGGUGGUUGUGUUUAUGUCAUUCUUCUCCUUCCGUACAUGCGAUUAUUCUAACAAAAUUUAACGAAAGUCUCUUCAUAGAGCCGGUGAUCGAUCGAUCGUGUUAUCAAUAUGUGCUGCGUAUUUUAUUCUACGUGUGCCUAUUGUCUUGUCGAUCUUUAAAACCUUUCGAAUACGGCAUUACUUCGUUCAUACGAUUCUGCGCUAUGGUAGACAAUCGCGUAGGAUCAAAUGCACGUCGUUUCAAUACAAACAUUUAUGACAUUUAAUUAACAAAAUUAUCCUGUUGACGUGAGAUCGUCGAUCAUUGGUUCGAAUUGAUACAAACAUCGGACAUACGCGAUAAUUCGUGUAUCUGUGUACGAAAACGCGAAAUACUAGUUCUGUGUCAGUCGAUGAGGUUAGGCUGGCGUAUUUACGCAACGAAAAUUCGUGUCGUCGGUGUACGCGCACGCGAUGCGGCUCUGACAGCACGUUCUAUCUUCUUUUCUAUAUUACUGAUCAUACGUCACAGGACGGAACGCUCUGUGCAGUGCUUAACGCUGAAUUUAUUGUCAUCGUCAGUGACGACUUUGACAGCGCAUCAUUCGAAGUGAGGUUAAUUUGGAAGGUGUGUCGUGCGUGUGCGUGCUGUAGAGAAAAACAACACGGCAAUAAUACGAUGACGGCGAUGUUAGUAUCUGUGGCGGAACUGUCGAACAUUUUCUUCGUGCUUGCAGUCUCGAUAUGCUUUUGCGGAGUCUUCUUGUUUAUUAUCAGAAAUAUGAUCGUGCUUCGCAUUCACGGCGACGAAUUGAUGUUUGGAGGGAGUGGAACUGUCAUGACGCAUUCGCCGCGUAUACCUCAAAUGGAAAUGAUGAAGGUCCAUAUUCCCUUCACCUUCAAGCUUCAC